AUUGAACGCUGGCGGCAGGCCUAACACAUGCAAGUCGAGCGGAGCGGCGGACGGGUGAGUAAUGCCUAGGAAUCUGCCUGGUAGUGGGGGAUAACGUCCGGAAACGGGCGCUAAUACCGCAUACUAUCAGAUGAGCCUAGGUCGGAUUAGCUAGUUGGUGAGGUAAAGGCCUACCAAGGCGACGAUCCGUAACUGGUAUGAGAGGAUGAUCAGUCACACUGGAACUAAGACACGGUCCGAACUCGUACGGGAGGAAGUAGUGGGGAAUAUUGGACAAUGGGCGAAAGCCUGAUCCAGCCAUGCCGCGUGUGGUAAGAAGGUCUUCGGAUUGUAAAGCACUUUAAGUUGGGAGGCGUGACCAACAGAAUAAACACCGGCUAACUUCGUGCCAGCAGCCGCGGUAAUAC
rnacentral:rRNA from 1 species